CAGUGAUACAGACCAGCUCUAAAACCUGCCUGCGCAGUUCAAUUAAUGUUAUAGAUGCUUCCUCCAUAUUGGCUAUAUGUAUUGCUGCCACAUUUGCAGGGGGUGGUACGGAGAGGCUGGGCUACAGACACUGCUGUUCUUCCACAGCACCCCAGCCUGCAGCACAGACAGGAAUAAGGACAUCGCCCAGGAACCCUCUGGGAGCAUUUCAGAGGUAACAGACAUGGGCAGCCCAGGGCUUCAUUGGCAGUGACACCAUGUGGGGGAAAGACGUGAGAAUCUGAGCACUGGGGCACUUGGAGGCUGGGAAGCUUGUAGAUGCAGCAAAGGAACAAGGAACAGUGCUCCCUAUUUCUAAUACAUACAAGGUCUAACACACUGUAGAGAAGAGCCUAUACAUACAAGCCAGUGUACAAAUAUAAAAACAGAUGACACUAUCCAAGACUGUUCAGUGGGCAGCAACAAGCUAUUUUUUAAUUGGAGGGAGACAACAGGCAUUUCAAAUGAGGAGUAUUUUGAAGACAGCAGUGCUGAAUGAUCUACCAAGCGAGGCAUUUAAUGCAGAGGUUACUGCCGGGCUGCCACAGAAACUUGUUAAAUGACAGACCAAGAGGCUGUUCAGAAAAUUAUCUUGCUAACAGGUGUCUGAAGUUACUCAAAUAAAUUUUUGCUUCUUUUUACAUGUGUAUAAUCAGAUUUAAGGUACUUCAACAACAAGCCACUUGGGCAA